rnacentral:rRNA from 1 species
AUUGAACGCUGGCGGCAGGCUUAACACAUGCAAGUCGAGCGGAGUGAUGGUGCUUGCACUAUCACUUAGCGGCGGACGGGUGAGUAAUGCUUAGGAAUCUGCCUAUUAGUGGGGGACAACAUCUCGAAAGGGAUGCUAAUACCGCAUACGUCCUACGGGAGAAAGCAGGGGAUCACUUGUGACCUUGCGCUAAUAGAUGAGCCUAAGGCGGAUUAGCUAGUUGGUGGGGUAAAGGCCUACCAAGGCGACGAUCUGUAGCGGGUCUGAGAGGAUGAUCCGCCAAACUGGGACUGAGACACGGCCCAGACUCCUACGGGAGGCAGCAGUGGGGAAUAUUGGACAAUGGGGGGAACCCUGAUCCAGCCAUGCCGCGUGUGUGAAGAAGGCCUUAUGGUUGUAAAGCACUUUAAGCGAGGAGGAGGCUCUUUUGGUUAAUACCCAAGAUGAGUGGACGUUACUCGCAGAAUAAGCACCGGCUAACUCUGUGCCAGCAGCCGCCGUAA